CCUGUGCUCUUUAAAAUAACCUGGAUAGCUUCCUAAUGUCUAUAGAGAGAACUAAAGCAUUCGAUGCUUGGGUAUGUAUUAAACUUUUCUUGAAUGACAUUUUAUUUUUGGUCUCAGAAUGGGAAAUGUAUUACAGCCUGAAAUAAUUUGAAUUUAAAAGUUAAGUUAUGCAGGGGCCAUAUUUGUCAAGACUGAUGCAAAGACAAGUUGGCUGCUUUUAGUAAAGAGGACAGGAGAGGACUGUUAAACUUUAAGUGCAGCAUUGUAAAGGUAACCCUAACCCUAAAUUUGUACACGAGUAGUGUUACAUUUAUAUACUUAAAACUGUUUGGUAACAGCGUGCAAUGAUUUAAAAGAUUCAAUCGUUUAAAAACAUAAGUAAAGUGGAAAAAUAUAUAUAUACAUCUAUACAAACACGCAGUAAUAGAUUUUGCUUAUAAUAAUAUUUCUGUACUAACAUUUCAGAGCAGAAUUAUAAUGCAACUCAUGCUAAAAGUGCUCAGUGUCAAAUCUUGAUCCAUCUAUGUUUGUAAUGCUGCUCCUGUUUUUUUUCUUUUGCGAUUUAAUUGUUUAACGUAUUGAAAAACUCAAAUGUCCUACCUGAAAAAGUUACCUGGAAAAGCUUGAGUUGCAUGACUCAAACUUGGCAGAUUGCAUGAGCUUCCUCAAUACAAAAUAGUUUAUCAUAGCAAUGUUUGAUUGUUCGCUCAUAGCAUUCUCUCUUCCCUAGGUCGUGAUGCCUAGCAAUUCCUGGAAAUGGAACAUUUAAUCGAAUGUCAGACCUCUCCUCAGGAAAAGACAAGCAUUUGUUUGCAGUGUAAGGGCAAUCUUACCUUUGAACACCAGCUGCCUUUAAGGAACCAUGGACAGUCUGACUGAACAGUUUGGAAUGGCAGAAAUCGAUAGUCCUGUCAGCUAACGUUUGAUCCAGCAACCUCUUAAUGGGUUAAAGUGGAAAAGUCUUGAGCUGUUGAUGCUCGUUUAUGUUGGCUCUCCAGUCAUAAUGCAAGGUCACUUUCUCUGUACUGAAAGUUUCUCUUUACUGUUCACCUCAUCAAAUGCUUUCUAAGCACAGUUUACUUUAAAUGUUCAUCUUUAAAUUGACUACUACUGCUCAUGUUGGCCAAAAAAAUCAUUUUAACAAGCUAAAAAAAUUCUGUCGGGGCUCUCCAGACGUCUACCUCAGACAAUACUCCAGUGCUUUAUUCUGCAAGACAAGCAUGUCUUUCCCGGUUCCUCGCUCGGAGGAACGUACAUGCUAAUUUGGAGCUGUCCGGCCUCUAUCUCUUAGCACAGACUUUGUCCGUUAAUUGCCAUGGUAAUUUUCAUCGUGCUCUUGAGUAGAUAUGUUUGAAUGGGUUUAUGCUGCUGGAGCUCUCUUGCAGUUUGUAUGAAUCACAAAUGAAUCUUGCGUCUGAUGAACCAAGCACAAAAAGCUCCAGGGAUUUGCAGUGUAGCGUAACGGUUGAUCUAAAUCAUACUAAUGUUUUUUUUUUUUUUUUUUACCUUCUGGAUAAAGGUCUUACUUGCCCUAAUUGAGAGCUUUCCAUAAAUUCUGCUUUGUUUUCUAAUCCUCGCUGUUUUUGGCACUGUGCAUGUGUUGCUGUCAGUGUAUAUUGCUGUAGCUUCCAUCUCUUGCUCAUCUCCACCCCCAACACGCAUAGGAUUCGAGCCCAAUUACCGCCGCUGACAGUGUGUCCGUCCCCCCGCAGAGCCGCCACUGGUUGCCGACUGGCUAACAGGACUAAUGCCUUAUUGCAUUAAAGACAAAUCAGUCCUCGGCACAGAUUUUAAUAAGUAUUAGCCACUGCUCAAGUGCCAUCGAACAAUUGGAAAUGGGUGCACGUGGGUAGGAGGUUGACCGGUUUGUAUGUAGACUUCACUGUAAUGAGAAAUCGCAAAAGCAAAUAAUGGAAAUAUUUAAUUCAUUUCCCAGACAGAUGCUUAGGGGGUAAAGAAAACUACUCUCAAGGAGGAGGAAAUGUUCAAACCCACUGCAAGGACUUAAUGGGUCUUUGUUUACACGGUCAUAUCUGUUUGCGUUGGGCAUGCGUGGCCUACAGCUGCUGGGGGAAUGCCUCUGGGGUAAUGUGCAAGGUCUGAAACUGGGGGAUUGUGGCUUGGCAGCUCUUUCCUCUUAACACACAUCAUGCAUGCUGAAAAUAGGAAGCAUGGCUUUGCGAAUGCAAAUGAAAUGCA